rnacentral:lncRNA from 1 species
GGAUCAUGGGUCAGCCGAAGGCAGAGGCUCUAACCCACUGAGCCACCCAGGAAAAAGAGAUGAAUGAAGGAAACUGCUGUUGGUAACAUAGCUGAGAUGUGACGGAGCCUGGACUCAAGCUCACAAAGUCAAAAUCUAAAGCCACUAUUUUCAACUACUAUGUAUACUGCUCCUUGGAGAAAAGGUGGAGUACAGAGAGUCAAAUACCCAAAUGCUGAUGAACAGAUUAUGGAGAAUCCUCUCAGAAAAUAAGAAGUCAAUUCAUGAGAUGAGUUGAGUAACAAUAAAAGUGAAACUCUUGAGAAAAGACCACACAUGAUUGAAGAUCUACACACUUUCAGAGAAGUCAAAAUUACAGCCAUCCUGUGGGCUGCCAGGAAUGCCUUCCAUGUCCAUUUCCAAGUCCAUCGUGAUAACGGCUGUUCCUACUGUGAGGCUAAGACAGACAGAAAGCUAAGACAGAGAACUAGGUGAUGGAAGAAUCU